rnacentral:tRNA from 1 species
GCCUCAGUGGCUUAGCCUGGUAUAGCACAGAAGAAAUUCGCUAAGUUGCUUGGUAAGUUGGUCCGAAGAGCAAGAGGUCCCGCGUUCAAAUCGCGGCUGAGGCU